rnacentral:rRNA from 1 species
GACGAACGCUGGCGGCGUGCCUAACACAUGCAAGUCGAGCGGAGACAGUGAGUAGCUUGCUAUGAGCUGUUUUAGCGGCGGACGGGUGAGUAACGCGUGAGCAACCUUUCCCAGACAGGGGAAUAACACACCGAAAGGUGUACUAAUACCGCAUAAGACCACGGGAUCACAUGGUUCUGGGGUAAAAGAUUUAUCGGUUUGGGGUGGGCUCGCGUCCGAUUAGGUAGUUGGUGAGGUAACCGG